CAGUAGCCACGGUAACACGGAGGGUGCAAGCGUUAAUCGGAAUUACUGGGCGUAAAGCGCACGCAGGCGGUCUGACAAGUCAGAUGUGAAAUCCCCGGGCUUAACCUGGGAACUGCAUUUGAAACUGUCAGGCUGGAGUCUUGUAGAGGGGGGUGGAAUUCCAGGUGUAGCGGUGAAAUGCGUAGAGAUCUGGAGGAAUACCGGUGGCGAAGGCGGCCCCCUGGACAAAGACUGACGCUCAGGUGCGAAAGCGUGGGGAGCAAACAGGAUUAGAUACCCCGGUAGUCCCUGUCUCUUAUAC
rnacentral:rRNA from 1 species